rnacentral:rRNA from 1 species
UACAGAGGGUGCGAGCGUUAAUCGGAAUUACUGGGCGUAAAGCGUGCGUAGACGGUUAUAUAAGUCGGGUGUGAAAGCCCCGGGCUCAACCUGGGAAUUGCAUUCGAGACUGCAUAGCUAGGGUGCGGAAGAGGGAAGCGGAAUUUCCGGUGUAGCGGUGAAAUGCGUAGAUAUCGGAAGGAACACCUGUGGCGAAGGCGACCCCCUGGUUGGAUACUGACGCUGAGACGCGAAAGCGUGGGGAGCAAACAGG